CGGAUAAAUUUUUACUGAGAGUCGUAUAGGAAUCUAUAAUCUGGGGAGCAUCUCGGAAGCCAUGCCGGCUGACGAGUUCGCUGGAAAUCGAAACAGAAGCAAACCAAGACUGCAACCACCUUAACGAACCGCUAUUAUCACUGGCAAGGUCAUCGGGCAGACCGGAUCUAAUCAUGCUCACGCCGACCAUGCUUCCUGUGCACUCGUUCCUCUUUCUUAACGACGUCAACCAGAAGAUCGGGUGGUAAAAAAUUCGAAAUCGAGUUGAUUGAAAAUCUCAA